UUAGUUUCUCCUGGAAGUGGGUUUAUUCAUUUCUGUGUCAGACAUAUGAUUUGUUUGUAAUUCAUARAUGUCUUGCUUAUAGAUGUACUGUAUACCAAUAUACUUAAUCUGCCUCACUUUGACAACAUGCUUUUUCAGUAGCAAACAUGGUAGAGGACACUACCAUAGAGUCAUGCUGGUAUUUGCUUUCAUUUCCUCCCUUCUAUGUCCUCACCCAGUCCUGUCCUCCUUCCUAGCGGUGUCCUGUGUGGUGAGUGAGUGGAGUGCGUGGUCUGGCUGUGCUGAGCCCUGCAGGGCCACAGUUCGGAUGAGGAGCAGGCAGGUCCUGCAGGAGCCCCAGCAUGGGGGGGAACCCUGUCCACACGUAGAGGAGCAUGCCGGCUGUGCAGAGUACCGGGACCACCACCGGCAGUGCAGAGUACCGGGACCACCACCGGCAGUGCAGCAAAUCACCGGUACCGGCUCUCAUCACUAACGGUGACUAUAGCAACGCCAGGAAGAAGAGAGACAUCCCUGUUAUCAAUGAUGAUGAUGUCACAGGGUGCAGUUCCAGCUGACCUCCCUGACUCCUGGGUGCCAGCYUAGUGUGGGGCCACACACCCGCUGGAUGCAGUACCUGAAGGAGGGCCACCAGGUGUGUGUGGAGUGCCAGCCUCCUGCCCUCGCUGCCGGGCAGAGACACUGCUCUGGAGACGGUGAGGAGGAGGAGAGUGGCAGGCAGGCAGUCUCUGCAGUGGGGAACACCAGGUGUUGUGGUGUGUGGAGACGUGUUGGGAGACUAGACUCCUGCUCCUGUCCCACUGUCCACAGCUUCCUCUUCAUAUAACCCUGGACAGCUUCCUCUUCAUAUAACCCUGGACAGCUUCCUCUUCAUAUAACCCUGGACAGCUUCCUCUUCAUAUAAUCCUGGACAACCUCCUCUUCAUAUAAUCCUGGACAACCUCCUCUUCAUAUAAUCCUGGACAGCUUCCUUCCUCAUAUAAUCCUGGACAACCUGUACCAGUAUCUCCCAUAACAAUUGGUAUGAAACCUCUGCCAACAUAUAAGUCUUGUUUAUAUGGGUGUUUUGGGUCAUUUUGUUCUCUGGUUGGACAGAAUCCUCCUUCUGAAACAUGCUAUUGUAGAUCUGCUUCUUUCCUAAGAGUAUGUAACUGUCAGUUCAAUUUUUCUUUGUAUCACUGAAAGCCUUCAAUAAUGCCUGGAAUACAUGUCAAUAAUCAAAACCAUUAAUUCAUUAGAUUUUAUUUAACUGUCAGUCAUCUAAGCGGAAUGUAAAGAAAGAUCUUGGGACAUUGAGACACUUUUUACAGGACAGGUAAACCGGAGUUGUGUGUGUGUUUCACAGCCAGUCACGGCUCCAAAGUUACAACAUGCAUUGAUAGAACAACCGAACAUUUAUACAGAAACAACUUACAGCAUAGGAAAGACAACAGGUAGAAACAUUACAAAACAAACAGUAGUCUAGAGACCUACAAACAGUAGCCUAGAGACCUACAAACAGUAGAAGAAGAGGUGUAACGUACACAAUUUCCCUGGAAUUUGUGUAUGUUACAAUGACUGGUGGAUUCAGCAAGGUUGGAAUCAAUUCCAUCUAUUUAAAUUAUUUUCAAAUUUCAAAUUAAAUUAUUUAAUUGAAUUCUAAUUUACCAAAGCAUUUCAAAUGGACCCCAACCCUGAAAUCUAACACAUUUCAAUUGCAUUUGGUUAAUUCCUAAUUGUAAGUUUCUCAUAGCUUAUAAAAAAAUAAGAGAAAUAAAAGAAGUCACUUGAUUGUGCUUUCUCAUUUUAACAUAACAUUUACAAAUCCGUUGACACCAGAAAUUCUCUUGUACAGGAACACAGUAGAAGUUAAAGUUCUUGUACACUACAGCAGUGUUUCCCAACCCUGGUACUCCAGUAUCCCCAACAGUARAUAUUUUAAUUGUAGCCCUGAACAAACACACCUCAUUCAACUCAUUGAGGGCUUGAUGAUUAGUUGACAAGUUGAAUCAGGUGUGCUUGUCCAGGGCUACAAUGAAAAUAUGUACUGUUGGGGAUACUGGAGUACCAGGGUUGGGAAUCARUGUACUACAGGACAUUUGGAUGUUGGGUGACUUGGAGAUGGAAGAGAGGACUGAUGUAGAAAAUAGUUUUUUUUAAACAUACCAGUCAGUGGUCACAGUAUCGUAGUAAAGAAAUUUGACCUUGUCAGAAUAUUUUCCAGAGUCAUUCCUCCUACCAAAACAAAAAUAUAUAAAGSCUAUAAGUAGUUGCUUGACCUGUAUGUGUCUGUAUGUCUGUCCAUGACGUGAUCCAGUCAGUCUGWCCAUCCUAUGACACUCCAUUGGAACUUCUCUUCACAAUGCUACAAUUUAUUUCAUGUCUAUUCAUGAGGAUUUGAUUGUCAUCAUUCUUUAAAGAGAUAGUUUCCAUGACAAAGCGGUCCCUGACUCCCACAAUAUAUUCUUACAGUGAAAGCAUAAAUUGAUGUAUGGUAAUGUGAAACAUAGGGUACAGGAACACAUAUCUCAGUGUUAGACAAUGCUCAAUACCAGAACCGAGCACGAGAAGCCAGCGCUCUACAGAUGACAGCUAAUUCGACCACCGGGGCAGUCAAAGGAAGGAUUUGAAGGAGGAUUUGAAAUGCAUUGUGAACACAAUGAAAAUAAACCUGUAACAUUGUACUGUAUGUCCACCCUACAGCUAAAAUCAUUCAUGUGAACAUUGUCAAACAAA